rnacentral:misc_RNA from 1 species
UGACCACUCAAGCCCGGCUUGGUGUUGGGGUCCGCGGUCCCGCGGCCCUUAAAAUCAGUGGCGGCGCCAUCUGGCUCUAAGCGUAGUAAUACUCCUCGCUAUAGGGUCUCGGUGGAUGCUUGCCAUCAACCCCCAAUCUCAC